GUGCUUGCUUCAGCAGCACAUAUACUAAAGUUGGAACAAUACAGAGAUGAUUAGUAUGGCCCCCAUGCAAGGAUGACAUGCAAAUUCAUGAAGUGUUCCAUAUUUAA
rnacentral:snRNA from 1 species